UGGGAGGGUUGGUGGAAGAGGAUUCUGAAGUUAGAAUAAUGCCAUGCCUUUCUUCAUUGGAUAUUCUUAAGGCAGACAGCCUACAAACACUGCCCGACUUCCUGCGAAAGACGCCACUGCGUGAUUUGACUAUCUAUAAAUGCUCUAUAUUUCUUGAACGCGGUUGCCAAGAAAGCAGAGGAGAGGAGCGUCUCAAGAUUUCUCACAUCCCAAACAUCGAAAUUAAUUAUAAGAGUAUUCGAGAAGAUGGAGUUUGGAUCCAGCAAGAGGAUGAAACCGAGGAAACUGAUAGUUCUGAAUCUGAUGAGGAUGAUGAUGGGAUUGCACAAGAAUAGGAUGUCGUGUAUUACAAGUCAUCUUAGCUGCAUUUCCAUAGGUGCUCUGCCAAUCCCCUGUUCACUCCUUCUGAAAAUGCUUAUCUAUGGUCAUUAAAAUAGCAGCAAGUAUUGCAAGCAUCCAUUUGGGAGGCAGAAUUUAAAGUUGCAGUGGCUGGAGUCCCCAAGACAUGAUGGCCUUCUGAAGAACAUCACCAUGCUACAUGCACAGACCAUUCUGAAGCAUAAAGAACUAAAAACUGCAAUGGAGUUGACAAGUCCCUUAAUACAGAUCCUAAGUAGGAUUUUCAAGUGGUGCAACAUCAUCAAGGAAACUGGUCCAGCAUUCUGGCAAACAUUUGACUGAUUGAUGAGGCUCUUACCUAAGCUAGGUUGUGAUAUCGAAUGCCCAUGUCAUAGGCAUGGGAUUUUGUUAUUUCAGCGGCUGAAGCUUUUCAUGGCAUGGCAGCUGAUUUGGAUGCUCUACCCGGAAACAGAAUAGGACUGGAAGUUCAUGCCAUCUUCUCAUAAG